UACAGAGGUCUCAAGCGUUGUUCGGAUUCAUUGGGCGUAAAGGGUGCGCAGGCGGCGGGGCAAGUCGGACGUGAAAUCUCGGGGCUUAACCCCGAAACUGCGUUCGAUACUGCCCUGCUAGAGGACUGGAGAGGAGACUGGAAUUCCUGGUGUAGCAGUGAAAUGCGUAGAUAUCAGGAGGAACGCCAAUGGCGAAGGCGGGUCUCUGGGCCAAAACUGACGCUGAGGAGCGAAAGCGUGGGGAGCGAACAGG
rnacentral:rRNA from 1 species